UGGGAACGCGAAGAACCUUACCUACUCUUGACAUCCAGAGAACUUAGCAGAGAUGCUUUGGUGCCUUCGGGAACUCUGAGACAGGUGCUGCAUGGCUGUCGUCAGCUCGUGUUGUGAAAUGUUGGGUUAAAGUCCCGCAACGAGCGCAACCCUUAUCCUUUGUUGCCAGCGAUUCGGUCGGGAACUCAAAGGAGACUGCCAGUGAUAAACUGGAGGAAGGUGGGGAUGACGUCAAGUCAUCAUGGCCCUUACGAGUAGGGCUACACACGUGCUACAAUGGCAUAUACAAAGAGAAGCGACCUCGCGAGAGCAAGCGGACCUCAUAAAGUAUGUCGUAGUCCGGAUUGGAGUCUGCAACUCGACUCCAUGAAGUCGGAAUCGCUAGUAAUCGUGGAUCAGAAUGCCACGGUGAAUACGUUCCCGGGUCUUGUACACACC
rnacentral:rRNA from 1 species